GUUGACAAAGCCAAACCCGUUGUGAUGCGGGGACGGAAAGUUCCGGGUCUUUUUAAGAUAGCCGGGCUGCCUAAU
rnacentral:ncRNA from 1 species